AACGCAUAUUGCGCUCUUUGGUAUUCCGAAGAGCAUGCUUGUUUGAGUAUCAGUAAACACCUCAAAGCUUUUGAUUUUUUUUUUGAAAGCUUUGGACUUGAGCAAUCCCAACACCAAUCUUUUUUAGAUUGGAGGCGGGUUGCUUGAAAUGCAGGUGCAGCUGGACAUUCUCCUGAGCUAAAAGCAUAUUCAUUUAGUCCCGUCAAACGGAUUAUUACUUUUGCUGCAGCUAACAUAAAGGGAGUUUGACCGUAUUGGCUGACUGAUGCAGGAUUUCACAGGGGUCGGCAACGACGCUUGUUAAACUCGAUCUCAAAUCAAGUAAGACUACCCGCUGAACUUAA
rnacentral:misc_RNA from 1 species